rnacentral:rRNA from 1 species
CGAAAGCCUGAUGCAGCAACGCGCGUGCACGAUGAAGGCCUUCGGGUCGUAAAGUGCUUUUCUGGGAGAUGAGAAAGGACAGUAUCCCAGGAAUAAGUCCUCGGCUAACUACGUGCCAGCAGCCGCGGUAAAACGUAGGAGGCGAGCGUUAUCCGGAUUCACUGGGCGUAAAGCGCGUGCAGGUGGCUUGGUAAGUUGGGCGUGAAAUCUCCCGGCUCAACUGGGAGAGGUCGUCCAAUACUACCGGGCUCGAGAGCAGAAGAGGAAGAUGGAAUUCCCGGUGUAGUGGUGAAAUGCGUAGAUAUCGGGAGGAACACCAGUGGCGAAGGCGAUCUUCUGGUCUGUUUCUGACACUCAGACGCGACAGCUAGGGUAGUAAACGGGAUUAGAGACCCCGGUAAUCCUAGCCGUAAACGAUGUGAACUUGGCGUUGGUGGGUUAAACUCCAUCAGUGCCGCAGCAAACGCGAUAAGUUCACCGCCUGGGGACUACGGCCGCAAGGUUAA